rnacentral:rRNA from 1 species
AUAACAUAUGUGACCGGCAUCGGUUGGAUAUUAAAUAUUUAUAGGAUAGAGAUGGGCUCGCGUGACAUUAGCUAGUUGGUAGGGUAACGGCUUACCAAGGCGACGAUGUCUAGGGGCUCUGAGAGGAGAAUCCCCCACACUGGUACUGAGACACGGACCAGACUCCUACGGGAGGCAGCAGUAAGGAAUAUUGGUCAAUGGGCGGAAGCCUGAACCAGCCAUGCCGCGUGCAGGAUGACUGCCCUAUGGGUUGUAAACUGCUUUUGUCCAGGAAUAAACCUAGAUACGUGUAUCUAGCUGAAUGUACUGGAAGAAUAAGGAUCGGCUAACUCCGUGCCAGCAGCCGCGGUAAUACGGAGGAUCCGAGCGUUAUCCGGAUUUAUUGGGUUUAAAGGGUGCGUAGGCGGCCUAUUAAGUCAGGGGUGAAAUACGGUGGCUCAACCAUCGCAGUGCCUUUGAUACUGAUGGGCUUGAAUCCAUUUGAAGUGGGCGGAAUAAGACAAGUAGCGGUGAAAUGCAUAGAUAUGUCUUAGAACUCCGAUUGCGAAGGCAGCUCACUAAGCUGGUAUUGACGCUGAUGCACGAAAGCGUGGGGAUCGAACAGGAUUAGAUACCCUGGUAGUCCACGCCCUAAACGAUGAUAACUCGAUGUUGGCGAUAGACAGCCAGCGUCCAAGCGAAAGCGUUAAGUAAUCCAC